AUGAAGGGGAGAAACAAAGCGGCACUCCUAGAGACACAUGCCCCAGGGCCUAUCACCACGGAGUUCUGCCACUGGUCGUCCCAACCGAUCACCUUUGACCAUCGUGAUUACUCGGCAAGUAUCCGGCAUGCAGGAUGGGCUGCCUUGGUGUUAGACCCGAUAAUUGACGGAUACCACUUCAGACGAGUCCUGAUGGACGGCAGCAGUAGUUUAAACCUGAUAUAUCAAGACACAGUCCGCAAAAUGGGGAUAGACCCAACAAAAAUCAGCCAUAGGAAUACUACCUUUAAAGGAGUAACGCCAGGCCCAGAAGCCCAUUGCACGGGCUCCCUGCUACUAGAGGUUAUAUUCGGCUUUCCCGAUAACUUCCGAAGCGAAAAGUUAACCUUCCACAUCGCUCCGUUCCAAAGUGGCUAUCAAGCACUACUCGGACGUGAAGCUUUCGCUCGCUUUAACGCAAUACCGCAUUACGCUUCUCUCAUGCUUAAGAUGCCCGGUCCACGUGACAUCAUUACAGUAAAUGGAAAUAUUGAGCGCUCCUUGCGCGUGGAAGACCGUGCGGCUGCCUUGGCAGCCGCACACUAG
rnacentral:rRNA from 1 species